rnacentral:rRNA from 1 species
CGCGUAGGCGGGUUUUUAAGUCAGGUGUGAAAACUCCAGGCUCAACUUGGAGAGUGCACUUGAAACUGGGGGCCUUGAGGACAGGAGAGGAAAGUGGAAUUCCUAGUGUAGCGGUGAAAUGCGUAGAUAUUAGGAGGAACACCAGUGGCGAAGGCGACUUUCUGGACUGUACCUGACGCUGAGGCGCGAAAGCAUGGGGAGCGAACG